AUUUUUUAUUUCAUAAUUACCUUCACUUGCCGAAAUGAACUGUAUGACUUCAUAUUCCCGCCAGGCUUAAUGCCUGGCGUUUUUUUA
rnacentral:ncRNA from 1 species